rnacentral:lncRNA from 1 species
UCUCACUAUGUAGUUGACACUGACCCGGAACUCACUAUGUAGCCCAGGCUGGUCUUGAACUCACAGCGAUCCUCCUGCCUCAGCUUCCCGAGUGCUGGGAUUACAAGCGAGCACCACCACAAGGAACAAGGAAGGCUUGUUCCUUCUGUCUUAUCCAGACUACCUCAGGCGGGCAGCUCUCACUCCCUUUAUUCCAGUGCCCCUCUCCUGUCCUAGCAUCGCACCACGAAUCACUCCCAGCAUCACACACUCUAGAUCCAGCCACCUCUGAAAAGGCCCCACCUGUAUGGCUGCAUGAGGCUUUAGGGGUCACCUAGACAUGAUCCGAUCUGUAACGGGGACUUACGGGAGUGUUCCUAGGCAGGAGGGGUUGACUGGGUCAGACUGUAGGAAUCUGUGAGGUGUUCUUGGGAAAUGCUGUGGUGCCACAGAGAGAUCUAGAAUCUUCAGUCGGGUAACUUCCUUUCUCCACUUACUAUGGCCCUAAGCUUCACCUGUUCUCACCUCUAAAAGGUAGAUCAUGACGCGAGCCUCAGAGAUCUGGGUAAGCGGCAAAGGAGACCAGAACCAUGCCUGAGGCACUCGGUGCCUGACUCUGGGGGCAGCCGGUGCAGGGUGCUGGAGAAUGGACCUCUCACCUCUCUGCUCUUCCUUCUGUAUCGGCCACGGCUCAGGAUGAGUGCAGGGAGGGAACCACAGUGAAGCUGUCCCCGGUGGAGCUGAUCAGAGGCCAGAGGAAAACAGCCGGACAUGAAAAACAGGCACAUCGGCCGGAAGGGCUGGAGAACGUGAAAGAUCUGUGUGAGAGAAGCAAGGGAAACAGACUAGGGAGCUGCCAGGGUCAUUCAGAAGCUGUCUGGCUGCACUGGGAUCAGGUUCGCUCUCUUUCAUCUUUCUUCUGUCUCCCUUUCUGAGUACUUUGGAUUCAACCCAGGCUGUUCACAUUGAGCUACAUCUUCAGCACUUAGGGUUAAUUUUGAGAUUCCUUGCUAUGUCGCUAAAUUGCCCAGGCCGGGCUGGAACGUGUGAUCCUCCUGCCUCAGCCUCCCAGAGUAC